AUUGAACGCUGGCGGCAUGCUUUACACAUGCAAGUCGAACGGUAACAGGCCUUCGUGUGCUGACGAGUGGCGAACGGGUGAGUAAUUCAUCGGAACGUACCCUGAGGUUGGGGAUAACGUAGCGAAAGCUGUGCUAAUAUCGCACGUGAUCUGAGGAUGAAAGCGGGGGACCGGGCAGCAAAGUUUGGCCUCGCGCCUUUGGACCCGCCGAUGUCGGAUUAGCUAGUUGGUGGGGUAAAGACCUACCAAGGCGACGAUCCGUAGCUGGUCUGAGAGAACGAUAAGCCACACUGGGAGUGAGCCAGGGCCAAGGGUCCUGAGGGAGGGAGCAGUGGGGAACGUUGGACAGUGGGCGCGAGUCUGGUCCAGCAAGGCCACGUGCGAGAAGAAGGCGUUCGGGUUGUAAAGCGGUUUUGGGAGGAACAAAACGGUGUCCGCUAAUACCGAGCGCUAAUGACGGUAACUGCAGAAUAAGCACCGGCUAACUACGUG
rnacentral:rRNA from 1 species